UAUGGCCAUACCACCCUGAACGUGCCCGAUCUCAUCUGAUUUCGGAAGCUAAGCAGGGUCGGGCCUGGUUAGUACUGGAUGGGAGACUGCCUGGGAAUACCAAAACGGCUGGAGCCAUAG
rnacentral:rRNA from 1 species